ACCUGCGGCCGCGGGUGCACAGGGGCCCCGCGUGUGGGAGAUCGAGCGCCUGACAGCGGCGCCCAGCUUCGCGGAGUCGCGCGGUUCUGAGUGUGCAGAUGUGCGUGGCUCUUGGAUCUUGCAGCCACGUCUCUUUCCAGGGAGAAGGCCUUGCGCACAUGAAAGCAGAGACUAGCAGAUGCCUCUGCACGCCAUGGAAUGCCAAAGAUCGCCAGAGCCCCCGAGACCCUAGUGGAGCAGCUCCGAACACAUUCUCCUUCGCAGCCUUGGAAGGAGCCAACCCUGCACCUCCUCGAGCUUGGACUGUCCACUUCUGGCACCAGGAGACCAUCCGUACCUGUUCAGGCCACCCCGUCUGUGGUGCUUUGUGACAGCGACCCUAGCAAUCUGACACAAUCUGCACAAUACAGGCAGGACGGCAAGCAACACACGAGGCUGUCACUCACACAGGAACUGGAAGGUUGUUCCCAGUAAAUUUUAGGAAGAACAGAAGCAGUGUGAGUCUUGAGGAGUCACCCACUGAGAAAAAGUAUCCAGAACCUUGCUUUUCGAACAGCACGUUGGUGAUAUGAAGCACCUCUGUUGAAUUGCCUGGAGAGCUUCCAGUUGCUGCUCUGGGCAUGUCCCCAUCCCCUGUGGUGAGCAUGGGCCACCACCGCUGGCUGGUCUGUUUCCUUAUCCAGGACAGGAGUGACAGCAGUGCCUCUCGAUGCCUUACGGUUAGAUGCAAGGAUGUAAUGCGGAGCACAGAAGAGCGCCUACACGUCCCUGCUUCCCCCUGCAACUGACCACAGGAACAGAGGCCCCAGUGGAGCAGAGCAUCCCCAAGGAAGAGGAUGGAAGAGUUUGAGCAAGUCACACUGUCACUGGCGAGGGAUGGCAGGGCAAGCCUUGCAACGUGCUUCUGUUCCCUGACUUAUGACAAGGCUGACUUGGAAUAAAAUGUCCAAACCACAGCAUUUUUUUCCUUUCAAAUAUAUCACCGCUGUGGUCUGAUAUUUGCUUUUGCAGAGGAGAGCAAGUCUGGAAGCAAGUUUGGGUUCAUUUUCAUGAUGGCCUGUUUUGCUCUUCAGCCUGGUUUCUCCUAGGAGCAGCACAUGUCUUGGUGUUUUUACAGGAUGUGUCUGGCUGUGCAUUUUGCCAUGAAUUUUGGCUAGAAUAGCAUAAGUGUAGUUUUUUUUUUCAACUUUGGAAAGAUCUAAAUACUUAUGUGCUUAUUAUUUGGGAAAUAUGGUACUCCAUGAGUGUUGUUUAGCGUUAAAAUGGUAAACAGGGUUGGGGUAACUGCUGACAUUACCGAACUACAAAGGCAAUUAUUGAAAAAGCCAGCACAUAUGCGUAUGUGUAUAUAACUAAAUGAGGUUAAUAAAAAAAUUGUUUUCACAUCCCACAUAAUAUUUUCAAGAAGCACACAGGGAAGAAGGGGCAGAAAAGCAAAUGAAAUUCUUCUGAAAUUCUAUCCUACAGAUGAGGGAACCUGCCUCAUAUACUUGUACUACUUCAUUCAUAACUUCAAAUAUCAGAGAAUGAACCUAAAACCCUUCUGUAAAUACCGUGGUAAAGAUAAGGAGGAUAUAUGAGGAGAGAAAAGUAAUGAGAUUUUG